CAAUUCAAGGAGUGGGGUUAGUUUGCAGAGGUAGGCUCGAACGUUGCGAUAAAUAUGGGCUGGGGUGGUAUUCUCGUCUUCGUAUUAGCAUCAAUAGUUGAUUAAGAAAGCACAAGAGAUGGCUGCUGGCAAGGUAUUUCUCAUCAUUUGCGUCAUAUUAUGCAUUCUGCCUGAGGUGUUGGUUGUGUGUAAUUGCCAAAGGUUCACCGGAAUUUAUCCCAGUCCAGACCGCAAAGCGUACGGAUCAGUGAACCCAAAUCCUUCAAGCCCUGGUCCUGGAUGCCUCCUCCGAGCCGAUGGUCGAUGCCGAGGGCCUCCGUAACAUCCCUGAUCAAUUUGGUUCAUUUGGUAUCCAUAUGAAGCACUCCCUAAAUUUCUGUUCCGAUGUUAUAUAUAUAUAUAUAUAUAUAUAUAUAUAUCAUGGUCAUCUCAAUACUUGCAAGUGUUGGGAGGCAAUGGAAUUUAUUAUUAUUAUUAUUAUAUAAGAUGUGUUUUUUACUUUUUUUUUUGGUUUUACUAAGAUUAGGACUUCACAAAUUUUUAAGAACUAUGUUUGGUGAUCUAUUUUUACUUUUAAUUUUAAAUCAUAAUAAUAAAUUUAAGAAA